rnacentral:rRNA from 1 species
UACAGGGGGGGCAAGCGUUGUUCGGAAUUACUGGGCGUAAAGGCUCGUAGGCGGCCGGCUAAGUCCGACGUGAAAUCCCCAGGCUUAACCUGGGAACUGCGUCGGAUACUGGCGGGCUUGAAUCCGGGAGAGGGAUGCGGAAUUCCAGGUGUAGCGGUGAAAUGCGUAGAUAUGCGGAGGAACACCGAUGGCGAAGGCAAUCCCCUGGGCCUGCACUGACGCUCAUGCACGAAGCGUGGGAGCAA